CAAUAAGUGUUUAUGGCACUUUUAACAAUUCCAUACCCACCUUGUGUGCAACGUUUGAAUCUACUUAUGCGUGCUUAUCUCUUUCGAGUGGGCCGCGUAAGUCAGAAUCUUUAAUCCAUUAAUCUAUUUAAAACAGUUUUGUCUGAAGCAAUGUAUCAUUGAAUUGACCUAAUUCGAAAAUA
rnacentral:misc_RNA from 2 species